rnacentral:rRNA from 1 species
AAAAAUCGUAACAAGGUCUCCGUUGGUGAACCAGCGGAGGGAUCAUUACCGAGUACUAUAACUCAUAACCCUUUGUGAACCUUCAUACCUGUUGCUUCGGCGGCGCGCCUCCCGGGGCGUGCCCGCCGGCAUUAUCAGAAUCUCUGUUCGAACCCGACGAUACUUCUGAGUGUUCUAAGCGAACUGUUAAAACUUUCAACAACGGAUCUCUUGGCUCCAGCAUCGAUGAAGAACGCAGCGAAACGCGAUAUGUAAUGUGAAUUGCAGAAUUCAGUGAAUCAUCGAAUCUUUGAACGCACAUGGCGCCUUCCAGUAUCCUGGGAGGCAUGCCUGUCCGAGCGUCGUUUCAACCCUCGAGCCCCCGUGGCCCGGCGUUGGGGACCUGCCCAGGCAGUCCCCGAAAACCAGUGGCGGACCCGACGGGCCCUUCCUUUGCGUAGUAACAUCUGCCUCGCAUCGGGAGCCCCCGGGCUAUCCGGCCUCUAAACCCCCCUCAAGCCCGCUCCGGCGGCACCAAGGUUGACCUCGGAUCAGGUAGGAAUACCCGCUGAACUUAAGCAUA